GAGUUUGAUCGUGGCUCAGAACGAACGCUGGCGGCAGGCUUAACACAUGCAAGUCGAACGCCCCGCAAAGGGAGUGGCAGACGGGUGAGUAACACGUGGGAACGUGCCCUAAGGUUUGGAAUAUUCCCGGGAAACUGGGAGCAAUACCAAAUGUGACCGCAAGGUGAAAGAUUUAUCGCCUUAGGAUCGGCCCGCGUCAGAUUAGGUAGUUGGUGGGGUAAUGGCCUACCAAGCCGACGAUCUGUAGCUGGUCUGAGAGGACGACCAGCCACACUGGGACUGAGACACGGCCCAGACUCCUACGGGAGGCAGCAGUGGGGAAUCUUGGACAAUGGGCGCAAGCCUGAUCCAGCCAUGCCGCGUGAGUGAAGAAGGCCUUAGGGUUGUAAAACUCUUUCGCCGGUGAAGAUAAUGACGGUAGCCGGAGAAGAAGCCCCGGCUAACUUCGUGCCAGCAGCCGCGGUAAU
rnacentral:rRNA from 1 species